UUUUUUGGAGAGUUUGAUCCUGGCUCAGGACGAACGCUGGCGGCGUGCUUAACACAUGCAAGUCGAACGGGGUGUUUAUUUCGGUAAACACCAAGUGGCGAACGGGUGAGUAAC
rnacentral:rRNA from 1 species